ensembl:snoRNA
UCUGUGGUACAUGAUGACUUCAGACUUUUUUCCCCAUCAGAUCGACAAUGCUGAUGCAAACUUGUGUUUAGCCAGACUGUCUGAUUCCACAGA